rnacentral:lncRNA from 1 species
AUUGUUCUCCUUGAUUUACUCCAUCGAUUUGGCAGGACAUAUCCUGUAGUGGUUUCCCGAGAAAGAGCGUGUUAUAGAUUGUCUCCUUUGGUUCUUAAGCCUUGAGACUCAGACUGAAUCACACCACCGGCUUUUCUGGGUCUGCAGCUUGCAGAUAGCAGACUGUGGGACUUCUCAGUCUAUAAUCAUGAAGAUGUUAAGCAAUUUAUUUGAUGUCCUUCAAAAACUAUCUUUAUAAUGAAACAAGAGAAACCAUGAUUAACUAUCAAAUUCAACUUGCUGCACAGCAUAACAAAACUACAGUGGAAUAAAGAAUACGGAGAAUUUUGAGUCAUGUCUUGUACAAUUGAAAUUUAAGAGCAAGGUUGCUUCUGUACCCCUAUACAGACUUGGCGCUGUGCCUCCACACUAGCUGCCAGAAAGAUGACAAAUGACAAUCAAAGAAAUCACCAGGAGACAAUGGCCUCUAUAAGGCCCACAUGCUUAUUUGUUCUGAAUUAAAAUGCUCAAACUUCA